AUUGAACGCUGGCGGCAGGCCUAACACAUGCGAGUCGAGCGGAUGAAGGGAGCUUGCUCCUGGAUUCAGCGGCGGACGGGUGAGUAAUGCCUAGGAAUCUGCCUGGUAGUGGGGGAUAACGUCCGGAAACGGGCGCUAAUACCGCAUACGUCCUGAGGGAGAAAGUGGGGGAUCUUCGGACCUCACGCUAUCAGAUGAGCCUAGGUCGGAUUAGCUAGUUGGUGGGGUAAAGGCCUACCAAGGCGACGAUCCGUAACUGGUCUGAGAGGAUGAUCAGUCACACUGGAACUGAGACACGGUCCAGACUCCUACGGGAGGCAGCAGUGGGGAAUAUUGGACAAUGGGCGAAAGCCUGAUCCAGCCAUGCCGCGUGUGUGAAGAAGGUCUUCGGAUUGUAAAGCGCUUUAAGUUGGGAGGAAGGGCAGUAAGUUAAUACCUUGCUGUUUUGACGUUACCAACAGAAUAAGCACCGGCUAACUUCGUG
rnacentral:rRNA from 1 species